rnacentral:rRNA from 1 species
GUUGUAUGGUUAAGUGACUAAGCGUACACGGUGGAUGCCUGGGCAGUCAGAGGCGAUGAAGGACGUACUAACUUGCGAUAAGCGCAGAUAAGGCAGUAAGAGCCGUUUGAGUCUGCGAUUUCCGAAUGGGGAAACCCAACUGCAUAAGCAGUUACUGUUAACUGAAUACAUAGGUUAACAGAGCAAACCGGGGGAACUGAAACAUCUAAGUACCCCGAGGAGAAGAAAUCAACCGAGAUUCCGGUAGUAGCGGCGAGCG